rnacentral:rRNA from 1 species
GACGGAGGAUGCAAGUGUUAUCCGGAAUCACUGGGCGUAAAGCGUCUGUAGGUUGUUUAAAAGUCUGCAGUUAAAGGUUGAAGCUUAACUUCAAAAAUGCCGUAGAAACUUUUAAACUAGAGGAUGGUAGGGGUAGAGGGAAUUUCCAGUGGAGCGGUGAAAUGUGUAGAUAUUGGAAAAGACCACCGAUGGCGAAGGCACUCUACUGGGCCAUGACUGACACUGGAGAGACGAAAGCUAGGGGAGCAAAUGGG